GACGAACGCUGGCGGCGUGCCUAAUACAUGCAAGUCGAACGCACUCUCGUUUAGAUUGAAGGAGUUUGCUCCUGAUUGAUAAACAUUUGAGUGAGUGGCGGACGGGUGAGUAACACGUGGGUAACCUGCCCUAAAGUGGGGGAUAACAUUUGGAAACAGAUGCUAAUACCGCAUAAAACCUAACACCGCAUGGUGUAGGGUUGAAAGAUGGUUUCGGCUAUCACUUUAGGAUGGACCCGCGGUGCAUUAGUUAGUUGGUGAGGUAAAGGCUCACCAAGACCGUGAUGCAUAGCCGACCUGAGAGGGUAAUCGGCCACACUGGGACUGAGACACGGCCCAGACUCCUACGGGAGGCAGCAGUAGGGAAUCUUCCACAAUGGACGAAAGUCUGAUGGAGCAACGCCGCGUGAGUGAAGAAGGUUUUCGGAUCGUAAAACUCUGUUGUUGGAGAAGAAUGUAUCUGAUAGUAACUGAUCAGGUAGUGACGGUAUCCAAACAGAAAGCCACGGCUAACUACGUG
rnacentral:rRNA from 1 species